rnacentral:rRNA from 1 species
UACGAAGGGGGCUAGCGUUGUUCGGAAUCACUGGGCGUAAAGGGCGCGUAGGCGGCUGUUCAAGUCGGGGGUGAAAUCCCGUGGCUCAACCACGGAAUGGCCUUCGAUACUGGACGGCUCGAGACCGGAAGAGGUGAGUGGAACUGCGAGUGUAGAGGUGAAAUUCGUAGAUAUUCGGAAGAACACCAGUGGCGAAGGCGGCUCACUGGUUCGGUACUGACGCUGAGGUGCGAAAGCGUGGGGAGCAAACAGG